GUUUAUUCAAACUUGUUCUGAUAGAGAGGGAAGCCAUCGAACGAUGGAACCUCGUACAAGAUUUGAGGCAACGGUAACAAGCAUACACGCAGAGAGGUGGCUAGGCGUAGGCCUGCUUUUACACAGCCAGAUAUACUCCACCCCGGAUAUAUAGCUGCUUGGCAUGCAGGGCUUGCUAUGGUCCUGGCAGUUGCUCAGAAACCAUGAAUCUUGAUAUGUUCCUUCUUCACAAUGCCAGCCUGGAGGACAAAUUACAAGAAGAAUUAGUCAUCUUUCAUGCGUGAUGCAUCUCAUUAUCACCAUAGGUACGAGGCAAGCAAAAUGAUCUCUACCUGGACAAGGAAAUUUGAGACGUUCUUCCUCUGAUCACCCUGGAGUUGAAUGACCUAAACCAGGAAAACAUUUGUUCAGAUAAGUAGCUUAUAGAC
rnacentral:lncRNA from 1 species